GGGAUCCGUCGGAGAGCUUGCUCGAAGACGGUGAGAGUGGCGCACGGGUGCGUAACGCGUGAGCAACCUACCUCUAUCAGGGGGAUAGCCUCUCGAAAGAGAGAUUAACACCGCAUAACAUAUGUGACCGGCAUCGGUUGGAUAUUAAAUAUUUAUAGGAUAGAGAUGGGCUCGCGUGACAUUAGCUAGUUGGUAGGGUAACGGCUUACCAAGGCGACGAUGUCUAGGGGCUCUGAGAGGAGAAUCCCCCACACUGGUACUGAGACACGGACCAGACUCCUACGGGAGGCAGCAGUAAGGAAUAUUGGUCAAUGGGCGGAAGCCUGAACCAGCCAUGCCGCGUGCAGGAAGACUGCCCUAUGGGUUGUAAACUGCUUUUGUCCAGGAAUAAACCUAGAUACGUGUAUCUAGCUGAAUGUACUGGAAGAAUAAGGAUCGGCUAACUCCGUGCCAGCAGCCGCGGUAAUACGGAGGAUCCGAGCGUUAUCCGGAUUUAUUGGGUUUAAAGGGUGCGUAGGCGGCCUAUUAAGUCAGGGGUGAAAUACGGUGGCUCAACCAUCGCAGUGCCUUUGAUACUGAUGGGCUUGAAUCCAUUUGAAGUGGGCGGAAUAAGACAAGUAGCGGUGAAAUGCAUAGAUAUGUCUUAGAACUCCGAUUGCGAAGGCAGCUCACUAAGCUGGUAUUGACGCUGAUGCACGAAAGCGUGGGGAUCGAACAGGAUUAGAUACCCUGGUAGUCCACGCCCUAAACGAUGAUAACUCGAUGUUGGCGAUAGACAGCCAGCGUCCAAGCGAAAGCGUUAAGUUAUCCACCUGGGGAGUACGCCCGCAAGGGUGAAACUCAAAGGAAUUGACGGGGGCCCGCACAAGCGGAGGAGCAUGUGGUUUAAUUCGAUGAUACGCGAGGAACCUUACCCGGGCUUGAAAGUUAGUGAAGAGUGCAGAGACGCACUCGUCCUUCGGGACACGAAACUAGGUGCUGCAUGGCUGUCGUCAGCUCGUGCCGUGAGGUGUUGGGUUAAGUCCCGCAACGAGCGCAACCCCUAUGUUUAGUUGCCAGCAUGUAAUGAUGGGGACUCUAAACAGACUGCCUGUGCAAACAGUGAGGAAGGUGGGGACGACGUCAAGUCAUCAUGGCCCUUACGUCCGGGGCUACACACGUGCUACAAUGGAUGGUACAGCGGGCAGCUACAUAGCAAUAUGAUGCUAAUCUCUAAAAGCCAUUCACAGUUCGGAUUGGGGUCUGCAACUCGACCCCAUGAAGUUGGAUUCGCUAGUAAUCGCGUAUCAGCAAUGACGCGGUGAAUACGUUCCCGGGCCUUGUACACACCGCCCGUCAAGCCAUGAAAGUUGGGGGUACCUAAA
rnacentral:rRNA from 1 species